CUAAGAGAAAGAAAUUCUUUAUUUAAAAAAAAAAUCCAUUUUAGCCAACCAUAGUAAUUGCUUUAAACAAUUAAUUGUCUUUAAGUUUUUUAAUAGUCUGAAGAACAGAAUGAGAUACCUCAGCUAUCUGGGGUCCUGUGAGCAAUCUCAUGGCUUUAGUCCUGACCUACAUGGAUUUUGAUUAGUUUACUGAGAUCCCCAGUUGUAUCCAGCUAUUUGUUUUCUAUUGGAGAAUGCAUGUUACCCAGGCAUAGUAAUUAACCUUACACAGGCCCUGCCCUUGUUAUGUAUUAAUCAUGUUUGUAUGGGCUACACACAUUACAUCACACCACUUUGACAUUUCCCACUUAGAAAGGUUUCUUUUGUGUUUGGGGAGGACAACUCCUUUCUAUGUUCUUUUUAUUCUUGUCAUUGUACCUGUGUAAGACAGGUACUUAACAUGUAGGUUUCUAAAGAGACAACAUCUACCUUUAUGAACUAACAUCCCCCUAAAUGUUGUUGUUACAGGCAAAAAGAGCUUCAACAAAAGCAAACUAAAUAGGCUGCUUCUUGGCUGAGCUUGUUAAAAGACUUGCCAACAAGACAAGGAACUCUCAGAAUUGUAAACAGCACAAAUGAGAAAUAAAAGAAUUACAAGCCUAGUGUUCUCCUCAGCCUGUCAUCCUCCUCUUUGGUUGCAGUCUAGCAGUUUUUGGAGGCUUCUCUUCAGGCCAAUAAAAGUUUUCUUUCUUCUACAUCAACCAAGAGCCACAUUUAGGCUGUUGGGGCACCUAUCUUCCCAUGAGCAUGGCUGAACCAUUACAUCAUCUGGGAUUUUGUGACCUUGCAAAGUGGAUGUUCUACUUGCAUGAGGAAGGUCCCAUUAAAUCCAAACCAAGAUAGCAUAUGUUUAAAAGAUAAGUGUUUGAGAACUAAUGCUUUUAUCUUACUAAGCUGUGCUCUGAGAUUAAUGUUUAACAUCUUAUAGUUCUAUGAUGCAUGUUUGAUUAUGACUCAAUAAUGACAUUUGAACUAUCCAUACGGUGCAAACUUGAAGUCCACUGUAAAAGAGAAAUAAAAUACAAUGAAAAUAGAAACA
ensembl:lncRNA